CUAGAUCUCUCAAUCUCUCUCGUUCCUCUCUCGAAAUCUCGAAUUCUCGAUCUCUCACUCUCUUCAACUGAACUCUACUGUAAUUUCUCCUCUCAAUCUCUCAAGUCUCAUCCGUUCCUCUCUCAAUCUCUCUCACCCGUGACCUGAUCCUCAGUCCUCACUUAAUCUCUCUCACUCUCUCUUCAACUCUCCUGUAAUCUCUUCUUCAGAUCAGAUCAGAUCCUUCGCGGCGCGGCCUGUCAUCACCUUCACGGUGCGGCUGUGUUCGUUUCAUAAGUCAUCAACAUCACUCGUCUCAUCUCUCACUCUGUCGCGGCCAGCAAAAGGGGUUGAAAUUCACAACUGGGAUCAUCAUCUUCUUCUUCAUCAUAUGGCGGCUGUGUUCCACAAUCAGUUUUUGGCGUUGCAUGUUCUUUUAUCUAAAGUUUCAGCAUCAUUUAGAACACGGUGUUAAUAGUUGUGUGCGGAGACUACAGACGAGAGCAUUAAGCAUAUGCAGAAUAGAGACAGCUGGAAUUGAUUACUAGACAUGAUCGGCAAUUUUGACAGCUGGUGGCAGUGGUCUAAAUUGUUUAGGGGAUGAAAUAUUAAAUUUUUGCUUGGGUUUGUUAGGGCUGAACAAUUGAGAAGAUUCAACGUUUGUAAGUGCCGUCUUACAUAACAUGAAUUUUGGUUUGGUCUUGGAUAGUAUAAAAACAAUACAUAUUUUUUUGGAUUUAUAAUUUAUUGUUGAAUUGGAAAUGAAUUGAUGAUGUAGUUGAUCAAGAUUUAAGAGUAAAAAAAGAAAAAUUAAUGGAACUAGUCCAAAAGAGUCCGAAAGAUCUUUACAUAAUCGACGGCACUUGGGAAAACAGCUAUAUAACAAGUUUUUACCAGAAAGCCAGCUCUGUUCUUUUAGAAAAGCUUGAUGUUUAUUUUCUUAAUUAUUAUUUCUUGAGUAAAUUUUUUUCCUUCUACGGUUCUGCCAACUUUUUGGAAGCAAAAAAUAUGGAGGCUAAUAUUAAAAUAAAAUCAACAUUACUCAAAUGAUAAAGAAUAGAUAUUAAAAUAAAAUAAAAUAAACAUUACUCAAUCAUCAUCUUGGCACUAACCAUGUUCGUUGUUUUGAACACCUUGCAUUGUUGGCCAGAGGAAUAGAAGAUAAAAAUAAAGCAAUCCGGGUUCAAAACCCGAAAUCUGGAAAUCUGGAUUUUUUCGGGUUGAACCCGGACCAGACCCGGAUUAAAAAAACGGGGUUCAAUGCGGGUCUAGUUAUGAGAAUUUUGUGUCCGGAUCCGGAUCCGGAACAGCCAAACCCGGACCCGGACCCGGACCCGGACCCGAAAAUUGCCAUCCCUAUUGGGGACGCACUUGUAGACCGUCAGAUUGAGCUGUUAAAGUUGUUGGAGCAAAAGGGUAUGAAAGUGGUGGGUCAUUUUGAUGAUAGUGGCCACCGUAUGCAAGAUUUGUUGGAUUCUGCCAAGCGCAUGGCUCUGCAUGGUUAUGUGAAGGAUUUCGUAUUGUCCUCAACAAUUGCUGCUUAGUCAGUGCGCGUGUGUGCUGUCGUGGGGGCGGCUGCUUUUGCCUUUUGGCGUGUUGCAAUAUAAUGAAAGCGUCCAUCUUAACUAUCAGCAUUAAAAAAAUGCAGUGGCGUAGUGCAAUGUAAUUGAUCUUUUCUACUAAAAAAAAAAAAAGUAAUCGGUCUUGUUACGUUGACUGAUAAUGACAUAUAUAUCAAGCAUUUGUUUAAGCUUUAGUAUGCCAAUGCUAGUGUUAUGUUACAAAAUCUUAUAUUGUAUUUGUGGAAAUCCAAUAUUAUUAAUAAACUCAUUUGUUGUAAAACCUCAAACAUUGUAAAUCAAGACAGC
rnacentral:lncRNA from 1 species